UGAGAUGACAAGUGGCGCACGGGUGAGUAACGCGUAUACAAUCNACCUUUUACAGGGGGAUAGCCUUUAGAAAUGAAGAUUAAUAUCCCAUAGUAAGUAGUUUUGGCAUCAAGACAACUUUAAAGUUUCGGCGGUAAAAGAUGAGUAUGCGUUCUAUUAGUUAGUUGGUAAGGUAACGGCUUACCAAGACCACGAUAGAUAGGGGCCCUGAGAGGGGGAUCCCCCACACUGGUACUGAGACACGGACCAGACUCCUACGGGAGGCAGCAGUGAGGAAUAUUGGACAAUGGGCGCGAGCCUGAUCCAGCCAUGCCGCGUGCAGGAAGACUGCCCUAUGGGUUGUAAACUGCUUUUAUACAGGAAGAAACCUUUUCACGUGUGAAAAGCUGACGGUACUGUAAGAAUAAGGAUCGGCUAACUCCGUGCCAGCAGCCGCGGUAAUACGGAGGAUCCAAGCGUUAUCCGGAAUCAUUGGGUUUAAAGGGUCCGUAGGUGGAUAAUUAAGUCAGGGGUGAAAGUUUGCAGCUCAACUGUAAAAUUGCCUUUGAUACUGGUUAUCUUGAAUUAUUGUGAAGUGGUUAGAAUAUGUAGUGUAGCGGUGAAAUGCAUAGAUAUUACAUAGAAUACCAAUUGCGAAGGCAGAUCACUAACAAUAUAUUGACACUGAUGGACGAAAGCG
rnacentral:rRNA from 2 species